rnacentral:rRNA from 1 species
CAAUAGCGUAUAUUAAAGUUGUUGCAGUUAAAAAGCUCGUAGUUGAAUUUAUGUUGCGGCGCCCACGUGCCACAUUACGGUGUGUGUGGUGCUUCAUCUUAUUCCCAUUUCACUUAAUUGUUGUUUUGGGAUUGUUUACUUUGAGAAAAAUUGAGUGUUUCAAGCAGGCUUUGCCUUGAAUACUGCAGCAUGGAAUAAUGAGAUAGACCUACAUUCCUAUUUCGUUGGUUUUGAGGGAUGAGAGAUGAUUAAUAGGGAUAGUUGGGGGCAUUUGUAUUCGACUGUCAGAGGUGAAAUUCUUAGAUUUGUCUAAGACAAACAACUGCGAAAGCAUUUGCCAAGGAUUUUCUCAUUAA